CAGUCGCCGCGGGAAUACGAAGGGCGCAAGUGUUAAUCGGAAUUACUGGGCGUAAAGCGUGCGUAGGCGGUGAGUUAAGUCUGCUGUGAAAUCCCCGGGCUCAACCUGGGAAUGGCAGUGGAUACUGGCUCGCUAGAGUGUGUCAGAGGAUGGUGGAGUUCCCGGUGUAGCGGUGAAAUGCGUAGAGAUCGGGAGGAACAUCAGUGGCGAAGGCGGCCAUCUGGGACAACACUGACGCUGAGGCACGAAAGCGUGGGGAGCAAACAGGAUUAGAUACCCGCGUAGUCCCUGUCUCUUAUAC
rnacentral:rRNA from 1 species